AGAGUUUGAUCAUGGCUCAGAUUGAACGCUGGCGGCAGGCCUAACACAUGCAAGUCGAGCGGUAGCACAGAGAGCUUGCUCUCGGGUGACGAGCGGCGGACGGGUGAGUAAUGUCUGGGAAACUGCCUGAUGGAGGGGGAUAACUACUGGAAACGGUAGCUAAUACCGCAUAACGUCGCAAGACCAAAGUGGGGGACCUUCGGGCCUCAUGCCAUCAGAUGUGCCCAGAUGGGAUUAGCUAGUAGGUGGGGUAACGGCUCACCUAGGCGACGAUCCCUAGCUGGUCUGAGAGGAUGACCAGCCACACUGGAACUGAGACACGGUCCAGACUCCUACGGGAGGCAGCAGUGGGGAAUAUUGCACAAUGGGCGCAAGCCUGAUGCAGCCAUGCCGCGUGUGUGAAGAAGGCCUUCGGGUUGUAAAGCACUUUCAGCGGGGAGGAAGGCGUUAAGGUUAAUAACCUUGGCGAUUGACGUUACCCGCAGAAGAAGCACCGGCUAACUCCGUGCCAGCAGCCGCGGUAAUACGGAGGGUGCAAGCGUUAAUCGGAAUUACUGGGCGUAAAGCGCACGCAGGCGGUCUGUCAAGUCGGAUGUGAAAUCCCCGGGCUCAACCUGGGAACUGCAUUCGAAACUGGCAGGCUAGAGUCUUGUAGAGGGGGGUAGAAUUCCAGGUGUAGCGGUGAAAUGCGUAGAGAUCUGGAGGAAUACCGGUGGCGAAGGCGGCCCCCUGGACAAAGACUGACGCUCAGGUGCGAAAGCGUGGGGAGCAAACAGGAUUAGAUACCCUGGUAGUCCACGCCGUAAACGAUGUCGAUUUGGAGGUUGUGCCCUUGAGGCGUGGCUUCCGGAGCUAACGCGUUAAAUCGACCGCCUGGGGAGUACGGCCGCAAGGUUAAAACUCAAAUGAAUUGACGGGGGCCCGCACAAGCGGUGGAGCAUGUGGUUUAAUUCGA
rnacentral:rRNA from 1 species